CUGUGGAUAUGACCUUGUCUUGUGCUCAUGCUCCUACGAGUGUCGGUACUAUGGCAACUGUUGCCCUGACUAUGAAAGCUUCUGUAUAGCAACAAUUCACCCACCAGAUGAUCCAACAGCACCCUCUUGCAUGUAUAACUGUGGGUACCACCUUGCCUAUUGUUCAUGCUCCAGAGCCUGUCAGUACUUUGGUGACUGU